GAAACGCGAUAUGUAAUGUGAAUUGCAGAUUUGUGACUCAUCGAAAUUUUGAACGCACAUUGCACCUAGUGGCAUUCCGCUAGGUAUGCUUGUUUGAGUGUCUGUAUUUUUUCUCAACUUGCUCCACGUACGUACGUGUACGCAGUGCAGUGCAGUGCAGUGCAGUGCUGUUGUAGCAGUUGGUUUUGAUCUCUUGCCCCCCCUCCACACGGCAGGGAGGCAAUUGGUUUAAAUGCAGUCAGUGAGUUUUUUUUUUCUCCUUGGGGAAGGCUUGCAAUAUUAUUCUUGUCAAACGCGCAACGAGUAACUUUUUGCCUGCCGCGAUCCUUGGAAAGGGAAAAGAUUUUGUUCUCACUGUCCAACUCUUGUGUAAAAGAAGGGAAAAAAGAGGACUUUCUUUUUUUUUCUCUCUCCUUUACUCUAGUACGACUGGACCUCAAAUCAAGCAAGGCUACCCGCUGAACUUAAGC
rnacentral:misc_RNA from 1 species